GGCUGUUCCAAGUACAGUGGUGUUUGUAACUAAUUGAUCACAAUCAGUUAUAGAUUUAUUUGUUACUUUUCCAAUCCCACUGAUUCACUUGACUAGCCUUAA
rnacentral:Y_RNA from 1 species